UUGGUCACUCCUGGUAUUUUUAGAUCAUCCUGGCGCGGACUGAGAAGCACGUUCGGGAGCAUUGGACAUUCAAUAACAAACUGUCAGACCUUCAGCGGUGGAUCACAAUGACUGAACAGAAGUUGGAAUCCUAUCAGGAUGCCAGUGAGGAAAGGAACAUGGAGAGCAGAGUCGCAGACCUGGAGGGGCUGCUAGCUGAAUUCCCGGGUAAGAAGAUCCAGUUGCACCUUGUUGGUGCUCAUGGCCAGCUGGUGAUUGAGAGUUCUUCCCCAGAAGAGGCAGCACAUGUCCAUACUGAAAUGACCCAGCUGACAGAAUCUUUGAGAUCACUCAAAAAAAUGACAAUCAGCCUCCUCAGCAGCAUGCAGCCAAAUACAACAGUGGUUGAUACAGGGAAGAAUAUAA
rnacentral:lncRNA from 1 species